GACGAACGCUGGCGGCGUGCUUAACACAUGCAAGUCGAACGGAAAGGCCCUGCUCUUGUGGGGUGCUCGAGUGGCGAACGGGUGUGUAACACGUGAGUAACCUGCCCUUGACUUUGGGAUAACUUCAGGAAACUGGGGCUAAUACCGGAUAGGAGCUCCUGCUGCAUGGUGGGGGUUGGAAAGUUUCGGCGGUUGGGGAUGGACUCGCGGCUUAUCAGCUUGUUGGUGGGGUAGUGGCUUACCAAGGCUUUGACGGGUAGCCGGCCUGAGAGGGUGACCGGCCACAUUGGGACUGAGAUACGGCCCAGACUCCUACGGGAGGCAGCAGUGGGGAAUAUUGCACAAUGGGCGGAAGCCUGAUGCAGCAACGCCGCGUGCGGGAUGACGGCCUUCGGGUUGUAAACCGCUUUCGCCUGUGACGAAGCGUGAGUGACGGUAAUGGGUAAAGAAGCACCGGCUAACUACGUG
rnacentral:rRNA from 1 species